GGUAAGAUGGCUGAGUGUUAAGCGGUGGACUGUAGUCCCACGAACAGAGGUUCAAAUCCUCUUCUUAUCA
ensembl:Mt_tRNA